rnacentral:rRNA from 1 species
AGAGUUUGAUCAUGGCUCAGGAUGAACGCUGGCGGCGUGCCUUAACACAUGCAAGUCGAGCGAUCUUCUUUCGGAAGAGAGCGGCGGACGGGUGAGUAACGCGUGGGUAACCUGCCUCAUACACAUGGAUAACAUACCGAAAGGUAUGCUAAUACAAGAUGAUAUAAGAGAUUCGCAUGGAUUUCUUAUCUAAGCUCCGGCGGUAUGAGAUGGACCCGCGUCUGAUUAGCUAGUUGGUAAGGUAACGGCUUACCAAGGCGACGAUCAGUAGCCGACCUGAGAGGGUGAUCGGCCACAUUGGAACUGAGACACGGUCCAAACUCCUACGGGAGGCAGCAGUGGGGAAUAUUGCACAAUGGGCGAAAGCCUGAUGCAGCAACGCCGCGUGAGCGAUGAAGGCCUUCGGAUCGUAAAGCUCUGUCCUCAAGGAAGAUAAUGACGGUACUUGAGGAGGAAGCCCCGGCUAACUACGUGCCAGCAGCCGCGGUAAUACGUAGGGGGCUAGCGUUAUCCGGAUUUACUGGGCGUAAAGGGUGCGUAGGUGGUUUCUUAAGUCAGGAGUGAAAGGCUACGGCUCAACCGUAGUAAGCUCUUGAAACUGGGAAACUUGAGUGCAGGAGAGGAAAGUGGAAUUCCUAGUGUAGCGGUGAAAUGCGUAGAUAUUAGGAGGAACACCAGUAGCGAAGGCGGCUUUCUGGACUGUAACUGACACUGAGGCACGAAAGCGUGGGGAGCAAACAGGAUUAGAUACCCUGGUAGUCCACGCCGUAAACGAUGAGUACUAGGUGUCGGGGGUUACCCCCCUCGGUGCCGCAGCU